UUACGGCCAUAGCACGUUAAAACACCGCUUCUCGUCCGAUCACCGAAGUUAAGCAACAUCGAGACUGGUCAGUACCUAGAUGGGUGAUCGCUUGGAAAUACCAAGUGCUGUAAG